ACUCCUACGGGAGGCAGCAGUAGGGAAUCUUCCACAAUGGGCGCAAGCCUGAUGGAGCAACACCGCGUGAGUGAAGAAGGGUUUCGGCUCGUAAAGCUCUGUUGUUAAAGAAGAACACGCAUGAGAGUAACUGUUCAUACGUUGACGGUAUUUAACCAGAAAGUCACGGCUAACUACGUGCCAGCAGCCGCGGUAAUACGUAGGUGGCAAGCGUUAUCCGGAUUUAUUGGGCGUAAAGAGAGUGCAGGCGGUUUUCUAAGUCUGAUGUGAAAGCCUUCGGCUUAACCGGAGAAGUGCAUCGGAAACUGGAUAACUUGAGUGCAGAAGAGGGUAGUGGAACUCCAUGUGUAGCGGUGGAAUGCGUAGAUAUAUGGAAGAACACCAGUGGCGAAGGCGGCUACCUGGUCUGCAACUGACGCUGAGACUCGAAAGCAUGGGUAGCGAACAGGAUUAGAUACCCUGGUAGGAUAGCG
rnacentral:rRNA from 1 species